UACGUAGGGUGCGAGCGUUGUCCGGAAUUAUUGGGCGUAAAGGGCUCGUAGGCGGUCUGUCACGUCGGGAGUGAAAACACGGGGCUUAACCCCGUGCCUGCUUCCGAUACGGGCAGACUAGAGGUAUGCAGGGGAGAACGGAAUUCCUGGUGUAGCGGUGAAAUGCGCAGAUAUCUGGAGGAACACCAGUGGCGAAGGCGGCUUCCUGGCCUGUAACUGACGCUGAGACGCGAAAGCGUGGGGAGCGAACCGG
rnacentral:rRNA from 1 species